rnacentral:rRNA from 1 species
UGGGGAAUAUUGGACAAUGGGGGGAACCCUGAUCCAGCCAUGCCGCGUGUGUGAAGAAGGCCUUUUGGUUGUAAAGCACUUUAAGCGAGGAGGAGGCUACUCUAGUUAAUACCUAGGGAUAGUGGACGUUACUCGCAGAAUAAGCACCGGCUAACUCUGUGCCAGCAGCCGCGGUAAUACAGAGGGUGCGAGCGUUAAUCGGAUUUACUGGGCGUAAAGCGUGCGUAGGCGGCUUUUUAAGUCGGAUGUGAAAUCCCUGAGCUUAACUUAGGAAUUGCAUUCGAUACUGGGAAGCUAGAGUAUGGGAGAGGAUGGUAGAAUUCCAGGUGUAGCGGUGAAAUGCGUAGAGAUCUGGAGGAAUACCGAUGGCGAAGGCAGCCAUCUGGCCUAAUACUGACGCUGAGGUACGAAAGCAUGGGGAGCAAACAG